AGGGAAUCUUCGGCAAUGGACGGAAGUCUGACCGAGCAACGCCGCGUGAGUGAAGAAGGUUUUCGGAUCGUAAAGCUCUGUUGUAAGAGAAGAACGAGUGUGAGAGUGGAAAGUUCACACUGUGACGGUAUCUUACCAGAAAGGGACGGCUAACUACGUGCCAGCAGCCGCGGUAAUACGUAGGCCCCGAGCGUUGUCCGGAUUUAUUGGGCGUAAAGCGAGCGCAGGCGGUUAGAUAAGUCUGAAGUUAAAGGCUGUGGCUUAACCAUAGUACGCUUUGGAAACUGUUUAACUUGAGUGCAAGAGGGGAGAGUGGAAUUCCAUGUGUAGCGGUGAAAUGCGUAGAUAUAUGGAGGAACACCGGUGGCGAAAGCGGCUCUCUGGCUUGUAACUGACGCUGAGGCUCGAAAGCGUGGGGAGCAAACAGGAUUAGAUACCCUGGUAGUCCACGCCGUAAACGAUGAGUGCUAGGUGUUAGACCCUUUCCGGGGUUUAGUGCCGCAGCUAACGCAUUAAGCACUCCGCCUGGGGAGUACGACCGCAAGGUUG
rnacentral:rRNA from 1 species